ensembl:misc_RNA Metazoa_SRP Metazoan signal recognition particle RNA
GCCAGGCCCAGUGCCGCGCGCCUGGAGUCCCAGCUACUCGGGAGGCUGAGGUGGGAGGAUCGCUUGAGCCCAGGAGUUCUGGGCUGGAUUGCACUAUGCCGAUCGGGCGUCUACACUAAGUUCGGCAUCAAUAUGGUGACCUCCUGGGAGAGGGGGACGACGAGGUUGCCUAAGGAGUGGUGAACCGGCCCAAGUCGGAAACCGAGCAGGUCAAAACUCUUGUGCUGAUCAGUAGUGGGAUCAUGCCUGUGAAUAGCCACUGCACUCCAGCCUGGGCAACAUAGUGAGACCCCGUCUCUU